CAGAGUUGUAAAACUCCCAACCCAUGUGAACAUACCUCUGUUGCCUCGGCGGGCCUACCCGGUAGUUACCCUGUAGUUACCCUGUAGCCCGCCGACGGACCACAAAACUCUGUUUAUACUACAUCUCUGAACAAAAAACAAAUAAGUUA
rnacentral:misc_RNA from 1 species